UACGAAGGGGGCUAGCGUUGUUCGGAGUUACUGGGCGUAAAGAGCGCGCAGGCGGUCGUUCAAGUCGAGUGUGAAAGCCCCCGGCUCAACUGGGGAGGGUCAUUCGAUACUGAUCGACUCGAAGGCAGGAGAGGGAAGCGGAAUUCCCGGUGUAGUGGUGAAAUGCGUAGAUAUCGGGAGGAACACCAGUGGCGAAGGCGGCUUCCUGGCCUGUUCUUGACGCUGAGGCGCGAAAGCCAGGGGAGCAAACGGG
rnacentral:rRNA from 1 species